rnacentral:rRNA from 1 species
AAGCUCGUAGUUGAAUUUCGGGAUCAAAUUGUCGGUCGUGCCUCGGUACGUACUGGCGUUAUUGGUUCCUCCCUUCUGAAGAACCGCGAUGUCAUUAAUUUGGUGUCGCGGGGAAUCAGGACUGUUACUUUGAAAAAAUUAGAGUGUUUAAAGCAGGCUCGCGCUUGAAUACAUUAGCAUGGAAUAAUGAAAUAGGACGUUUGAUUCUAUUUUGUUGGUUUCUAGGAUCGACGUAAUGAUUAAUAGGGAUAGUUGGGGGCAUUAGUAUUCAAUCGUCAGAGGUGAAAUUCUUGGAUUUAUUGAAGACUAACUACUGCGAAAGCAUUUGCCAAGGAUGUUUUCAUUAAUCAAGAACGAAAGUUAGGGGAUCGAAGACGAUCAGAUACCGUCGUAGUCUUAACCAUAAACUAUGCCGACUAGGGAUCGGAUGAUGUUAAUUUUUUAAUGACUCAUUCGGCGCCUUACGGGAAACCAAAGUGUUUGGGUUCCGGGGGGAGUAUGGUCGCAAGGCUGAAACUUAAAGGAAUUGACGGAAGGGCACCACCAGGGGUGGAGCCUGCGGCUUAAUUUGACUCAACACGGGGAAACUCACCAGGUCCAGACAUAGUAAGGAUUGACAGAUUGAGAGCUCUUUCUUGAUUCUAUGGGUG